rnacentral:rRNA from 1 species
GACGAACGCUGGCGGCGUGCUUAACACAUGCAAGUCGAACGGAAAGGCCCUGCUUUUGUGGGGUGCUCGAGUGGCGAACGGGUGAGUAACACGUGAGUAACCUGCCCUUGACUUUGGGAUAACUUCAGGAAACUGGGGCUAAUACCGGAUAGGAGCUCCUGCUGCAUGGUGGGGGUUGGAAAGUUUCGGCGGUUGGGGAUGGACUCGCGGCUUAUCAGCUUGUUGGUGAGGUAGUGGCUUACCAAGGCUUUGACGGGUAGCCGGCCUGAGAGGGUGACCGGCCACCUUGGGACUGAGAUACGGACCAGACUCCUACGGGAGGCAGCAGUGGGGAAUAUUGCACAAUGGGCGGAAGCCUGAUGCAGAAACGCUGCGUGCGGGAUGACGGCCUUCGGGUUGUAAACCGCUUUCGAAUGUGCCGAAGCGUGAGUGACGGUAAUGGGUAAAGAAGCACCGGCUAACUACGUG